GUCAUGUGAGCCCCACAUUUCUUGCAGUCCAGUGGAAAGACAGCUGCAUGAAUAUAUACUAGAGUGAAUAUAGAUACAAUAAAUUAUACCCAAGUGUAAUACAAUUAACAACUUUUAUGCUAGUGGUAUAAACCAGAAGAGGGAUUUUGUCAAUCGAUAUUAAUUUGGGAGGUUAAGGAGGGUUUUACUGAGAAGAUAAGUUGAAAUGCAAGGAUGUAUACACAUUUUUCCAGGCAGAAAAUGGGAAAGGCAUUAUGGAAGGAGGCAAGCAAAGGCAAGGCAGUGGAUGGACGUGGGAAACUGCCACACACCAUCUCUUGAGGAUACGAAAGGAGACAAGAUUUUAAAAAAAUGUUGCUAAAAAUACGUGCAGGUUUUUAAAAAAGCUGAUUUCAUCUCUGAUUAGUGGCCAAGGCAACAGUCAGUACAGAUUAAAAAGAAGUUGCAUGCAAUGAGAAGGAGAGGGGCUCUGAGUCAGUAAAAUUUGGGAGCUCAACUGAUUUCUGCAGGUAUUCAUGCCUGAUUGGAAAGCUGUUUGGAGGCUAGGUAGCAUCCAGAAGCAUAAUUCUAUCUCAGAGUGGCUUGGUAUAUGGAGUUCACCAUGAAGAAAGGCAGUGCUGCCAUGUGGCAAGAAACCAAGGCCUCCUGCAAACAGGCAUGUGUGUGAGCCAUCCAAUGGUGGCUCCUUCAGCCCCAGUCAGACCUUCAGGUGAGACAACAGCAUCUGCCAGCAUCAUAACCUCCACCUUAUGAGAGACUCUGAGCCAGAGCUACCCAGAAACCCAACUAGCCUUAAGUAGGCACGGUUUUCCAAGUCCUGGCCACUGGUGUCCCUAAGAGAUUUCAGGGAGAAGCAGUUUUGGCAGAGCCUUAGAGCCAGAGGCCGGCCAGUGAAGGGAACAAUGUCUGGGUUUUGAGAACAGCUGGAGCUUUGGAGGGAGAAAAGCAGCUUGGCGAAUGAGGAAAGAAUGUGCUUGUCACUUCAAGAGGCGAGAAACUUCGAUUUCCCUCCUGACACUGCCAACAAGUUUCAUUGGAAAGGACAGAGUGGUGGUGAUGGCAGAAAGUGUCUCUUAGGGCUGUUGUUCUUAGAAGAGUGUGAGCGAAGCAGGAACUUGGAAUUUCAUACUCUUUUUCCAGCACAAGUAUGAAGAAAUGAACUAGACGUGAAGAAGUCUGUGAAAAGAAGUCAGUGAACUUCAGGGAAUAUCCUGCGUUGUCCACUUUUUGGAAAACUGCAUCGCCUGAAGCAGCCCUAAUGGUGGUACUGAAGUUGCCGGAGUAACCCCCAUAUCUGCUUGUAGCUGUCAUGUGAAUGGUGGCUUCUGGGUUUCUAGGAGGGAGAAGCCUACACAUUUACACACUGAAAUAGAUUCUACAUUAUUGUGAA
rnacentral:lncRNA from 1 species